UCAGGAUGAACGCUAGCGACAGGCUAACACAUGCAAGUCGAGGGGCGAGCACGGGAGUAGCAAUACAACUGGUGGCGACCGGCGCACGGGUGAGUAACGCGUAUGCAACCUACCUAUCAGAAGGGGAAUAACCCGGCGAAAGUCGGACUAAUACCGCAUAAAACAGGGGCACCGCAUGGUGAUAUUUGUUAAAGAAAUUCGCUGAUAGAUGGGCAUGCGUUCCAUUAGGUAGUUGGUGAGGUAACGGCUCACCAAGCCGACGAUGGAUAGGGGAACUGAGAGGUUGGUCCCCCACACUGGUACUGAGACACGGACCAGACUCCUACGGGAGGCAGCAGUGAGGAAUAUUGGUCAAUGGGCGAGAGCCUGAACCAGCCAAGUCGCGUGAAGGAAGAAGGAUCUAUGGUUCGUAAACUUCUUUUGCAGGGGAAUAAAGUGCGGGACGUGUCCUGUUUUGUAUGUACCCUGAGAAUAAGGAUCGGCUAACUCCGUGCCAGCCGCAGC
rnacentral:rRNA from 1 species